rnacentral:rRNA from 1 species
AUCCUUUCGGGGAUAGCGGCGGACGGGUUAGUAACGCGUGGGAACGUACCCUUUUCUACGGAAUAGCCUCGGGAAACUGAGAUUAAUACCGUAUACGCCCUUUGGGGGAAAGAUUUAUCGGAGAAGGAUCGGCCCGCGUUAGAUUAGGUAGUUGGUGGGGUAAUGGCCUACCAAGCCGACGAUCCAUAGCUGGUUUGAGAGGAUGAUCAGCCACACUGGGACUGAGACACGGCCCAGACUCCUACGGGAGGCAGCAGUGGGGAAUCUUAGACAAUGGGGGAAACCCUGAUCUAGCCAUGCCGCGUGAUCGAUGAAGGCCUUAGGGUUGUAAAGUCCUUUCAGAUGGGAAGAUAAUGACGGUACCAUCAGAAGAAGCCCCGGCUAACUCCGUGCCAGCAGCCGCGGUAAUACGGAGGGGGCUAGCGUUGUUCGGAAUUACUGGGCGUAAAGCGCACGUAGGCGGAUUGGUAAGUUAGAGGUGAAAUCCCAGGGCUCAACCCUGGAACUGCCUUUAAUACUGCUAGUCUUGAGUUCGAGAGAGGUGAGUGGAAUUCCGAGUGUAGAGGUGAAAUUCGUAGAUAUUCGGAGGAACACCAGUGGCGAAGGCGGCUCACUGGCUCGAUACUGACGCUGAGGUGCGAAAGCAUGGGGAGCAAACAGGAUUAGAUACCCUGGUAGUCCAUGCCGUAAACGAUGAAUGCCAGACGUCAGCAAGCAUGCUUGUUGGUGUCACACCUAACGGAUUAAGCAUUCCGCCUGGGGAGUACGGUCGCAAGAUUAAAACUCAAAGGAAUUGACGGG